GGUUAAGUGACUAAGCGUACAUGGUGGAUGCCUUGGCAGUCAGAGGCGAUGAAGGACGUACUAACCUGCGAUAAGCCGUGAGCAGUCGGUAAGAGACAUUACGACUCACGGAUUUCCGAAUGGGGAAACCCACUUAGCAUAAGCUAGGUAUCGCUACGUGAAUACAUAGCGUAGCGAGGCGAACCGGGAGAACUGAAACAUCUAAGUACCCCGAGGAAAAGAAAUCAACCGAGAUUCCCUCAGUAGCGGCGAGCGAACGGGGAUUAGCCCUUAAGCAUCUUGGAAGUUAGUGGAACGGUCCUGGAAAGGCCGGCGAUACAGGGUGAUAGCCCCGUACACGAAAACAACCUUGAUGUGAAAUCGAGUAGGGCGGGACACGUGACAUCCUGUCUGAAUAUGGGGGGACCAUCCUCCAAGGCUAAAUACUCCUGACUGACCGAUAGUGAACCAGUACCGUGAGGGAAAGGCGAAAAGAACCCCUGUGAGGGGAGUGAAAUAGAACCUGAAACCGUGUACGUACAAGCAGUGGGAGCCCUUCGGGGUGACUGCGUACCUUUUGUAUAAUGGGUCAGCGACUUACAUUUUGUAGCGAGGUUAACCGUAUAGGGGAGCCGUAGGGAAACCGAGUCUUAACUGGGCGUCUAGUUGCAAGGUGUAGACCCGAAACCGGGUGAUCUAGCCAUGGGCAGGUUGAAGGUUGAGUAACAUCAACUGGAGGACCGAACCCACUAACGUUGCAAAGUUAGGGGAUGACCUGUGGCUGGGGGUGAAAGGCCAAUCAAACUCGGAGAUAGCUGGUUCUCCCCGAAAGCUAUUUAGGUAGCGCCUCGGACGAAUACUACUGGGGGUAGAGCACUGUUUGGGCUAGGGGGUCAUCCCGACUUACCAACCCCAUGCAAACUCCGAAUACCAGUAAGUAAUAUCCGGGAGACACACGGCGGGUGCUAACGUCCGUCGUGAAGAGGGAAACAACCCAGACCGCCGGCUAAGGUCCCAAAGUUCUGGUUAAGUGGGAAACGAUGUGGGAAGGCUCAGACAGCUAGGAUGUUGGCUUAGAAGCAGCCAUCAUUUAAAGAAAGCGUAAUAGCUCACUAGUCGAGUCGGCCUGCGCGGAAGAUGUAACGGGGCUCAAACCAGGCACCGAAGCCGCGGAUUCACGCUAAGCGUGAGUGGUAGGGGAGCGUUCUGUAAGUCUGCGAAGGUGUGUCGAGAGGCAUGCUGGAGAUAUCAGAAGUGCGAAUGCUGACGUAAGUAACGAUAAAGGGGGUGAAAAGCCUCCUCGCCGGAAGACCAAGGGUUCCUGUCCAACGUUAAUCGGGGCAGGGUGAGUCGACCCCUAAGGCGAGGCCGAAAGGCGUAGUCGAUGGGAAGCAGGUUAAUAUUCCUGCACGACUUGUAAUUGCGAUGGGGGGACGGAGAAGGCUAGGUGGGCCAGGCGACGGUUGUCCUGGUGAAAGUGCGUAGGUGGUGUUUCUAGGCAAAUCCGGAGACACAACACUGAGACACGAGACGAACACACUACGGUGUGGAAGCCAUUGAUGCCCUGCUUCCAGGAAAAGCCUCUAAGCUUCAGAUUACAAGUCAUCGUACCCCAAACCGACACAGGUGGUCGGGUAGAGAAUACCAAGGCGCUUGAGAGAACUCGGGUGAAGGAACUAGGCAAAAUAGAACCGUAACUUCGGGAGAAGGUUCGCUCUUGACAGUGAAGUCCCUUGCGGAUGGAGCAGUUGGGAGUCGCAGUGACCAGAUGGCUGGGACUGUUUAUCAAAAACACAGCACUCUGCAAACACGAAAGUGGACGUAUAGGGUGUGACACCUGCCCGGUGCCGGAAGGUUAAUUGAUGGGGUUAGCGCAAGCGAAGCUCUUGAUCGAAGCCCCGGUAAACGGCGGCCGUAACUAUAACGGUCCUAAGGUAGCGAAAUUCCUUGUCGGGUAAGUUCCGACCUGCACGAAUGGUGUAACCAUGGCCAUGCUGUCUCCACCCGAGACUCAGUGAAAUCGAAUUCGCCGUGAAGAUGCGGUGUACCCGCGGCUAGACGGAAAGACCCCGUGAACCUUUACUACAGCUUGGCACUGAACAUUGAACCUACAUGUGUAGGAUAGGUGGGAGGCUUUGAAGGCGUGACGCCAGUUGCGCUGGAGCCGUCCUUGAAAUACCACCCUUGUAUGUUUGAUGUUCUAACGCAGGCCCGUGAAUCCGGGUCGCGGACAGUGCCUGGUGGGUAGUUUGACUGGGGCGGUCUCCUCCCAAAGAGUAACGGAGGAGCACGAAGGUUGGCUAAUCCUGGUCGGACAUCAGGAGGUUAGUGCAAUGGCAUAAGCCAGCUUAACUGCGAGACGGACAGGUCGAGCAGGUACGAAAGUAGGUCAUAGUGAUCCGGUGGUUCUGAAUGGAAGGGCCAUCGCUCAACGGAUAAAAGGUACUCCGGGGAUAACAGGCUGAUACCGCCCAAGAGUUCAUAUCGACGGCGGUGUUUGGCACCUCGAUGUCGGCUCAUCACAUCCUGGGGCUGAAGUCGGUCCCAAGGGUAUGGCUGUUCGCCAUUUAAAGUGGUACGCGAGCUGGGUUCAGAACGUCGUGAGACAGUUCGGUCCCUAUCUGCCGUGGGCGUUGGAUGAUUGAAGGGAGUUGCUCCUAGUACGAGAGGACCGGAGUGAACGAACCUCUGGUGUUCGGGUUGUCACGCCAGUGGCACUGCCCGGUAGCUAAGUUCGGAAUCGAUAACCGCUGAAAGCAUCUAAGCGGGAAGCGAGCCCUGAGAUGAGUCAUCCCUGACCCCUUGAGGGUCCUAAAGGGCCGUUGGAGACCACAACGUUGAUAGGUGGGGUGUGUAAGCGCGGCGACGUGUUGAGCUAACCCAUACUAAUUACCCGUGAGGCUUAACCAU
rnacentral:rRNA from 1 species